CCUACGGGCGGCAGCAGUGGGGGAUAUUGCACAAUGGGGGAAACCCUGAUGCAGCGACGCCGCGUGGAGGAAGAAGGUUUUCGGAUUGUAAACUCCUGUCGUUAGGGACGAUAAUGACGGUACCUAACAAGAAAGCACCGGCUAACUACGUGCCAGCAGCCGCGGUAAUACGUAGGGGGCAAGCGUUAUCCGGAUUUACUGGGUGUAAAGGGAGCGUAGACGGCACGGCAAGCCAGAUGUGAAAGCCCGGGGCUCAACCCCGGGACUGCAUUUGGAACUGCUGAGCUAGAGUGUCGGAGAGGCAAGUGGAAUUCCUAGUGUAGCGGUGAAAUGCGUAGAUAUUAGGAGGAACACCAGUGGCGAAGGCGGCUUACUGGACGGUAACUGACGUUGAGGCUCGAAAGCGUGGGGAGCAAACAGGAUU
rnacentral:rRNA from 1 species